rnacentral:lncRNA from 1 species
CAAAUGGCCGCGGCGGCCUCAGGUCCGGCGUCACUCAGACAAGGGGGCGGGUGGAGGAGGAAGCGGCCAAGUCCACAGUCCUGCUCCCGUGCCGCCGAGCACCGCCCACCUCAGCUGACCAGCCCUGUCCGCUACUAGGCCUCGCCUAGAGGAGGGAAAGGCCGUGGCGUCCGCUCCCUCCGCGGCUCAUGGCGACGACGCUUGGCACAUCCGGGACCCUCAGGCCGCUGCAGUCGCGUCGCCGGCUGCUCGGGCCCCAGCCCCGGCCGCUGUGGUGACUCCGCCGCGCCUCGCCGUCGCCCCCGUCCCGCCCGCCGCCCCAGCCGCCAGGGACAUGUCUAACCUCGGAGGCCGUAGGAACGGGCCUGUCGAAGUGCGCCUGACAGGUGAAGGGGGCGCGGCGGGCCGGGCUGGGCAGCCGCGAGGUGGGCGAGCUGGCAGGGGUGCUUGUGGCCUUGGGAAGGGCCAGGGUCGCGAUCAGUGGGACAUGCCACCCCCGUUUUAGGAGAACUUGUAUUUGGUUUGAGAAGGAAUUGGAAUCACGGCGUUAUCCUACCUUCACCAUUUACCCCUGAUAAAUUGUCCACGUUUAUAUUUGGGAAUCAUAUUGACAGGUCAUGAAAAUGAGACCAAAAGAUCUCUGGAAGCGAUUAAUGAUAAAAUUUCAUGGAGAAGAAGGCCUUGACUACGGAGGGGUUGCCAGGGUGAUGACAACUCCGUGAGGGUGGAGAUUAUACAUCUCUCAUCAUUUCAGCAACAAGGAAAUAAAUUAGUGGCAGAGUAAGGGUGACUUGAGAUCUCUUGGAAGCGAGGAUCCUUUAAAAAUCCUGGAAUAUACACUGCAGUAAAAGAACAAAGCAUACCUCAGCCUUAAACGACUGAAGAAGAAUGUCAAGUGGGGAAGUGGCUUUGGUUUUCAGUUUGUGGGUUCUGAAUCCACACAAAGACAGGAUUGCUUUCUGAAAACCUGAAUUAAUUAUUGUCCUUACCUCAAUAAGACAAAAAAUUAGAAUCAAAAUCGUUAGUAUUACAGUCACAGAUAUCACCAAGAUUAGUUUGUUGUUAUAGCCAUAUCCU